rnacentral:rRNA from 1 species
UCGACGAGUUUGAUCAUGGCUCAGAUUGAACGCUGGCGGAAUGCUUUACACAUGCAAGUCGAGCGGCAGCGCGGGGCAACCUGGCGGCGAGCGGCGAACGGGUGAGUAAUGCAUCGGAACGUACCCAGUCGUGGGGGAUAACUGUCCGAAAGGACAGCUAAUACCGCAUACGUCCUGAGGGAGAAAGCGGGGGAUCGCAAGACCUCGCGCGAUUGGAGCGGCCGAUGCCGGAUUAGCUAGUUGGUAGGGUAAAGGCCUACCAAGGCGACGAUCCGUAGCUGGUCUGAGAGGACGACCAGCCACACUGGAACUGAGACACGGUCCAGACUCCUACGGGAGGCAGCAGUGGGGAAUUUUGGACAAUGGGGGCAACCCUGAUCCAGCCAUUCCGCGUGAGUGAAGAAGGCCUUCGGGUUGUAAAGCUCUUUCAGCAGGAACGAAACGGUGGUCCCUAAUACGGACUACUAAUGACGGUACCUGAAGAAGAAGCACCGGCUAACUACGUG